GCACUCAUUCACGUACCAUCUAUAUAUGUAUAUUUUUAUACACACAUAGAUAGGCACAUGCACACUUGAGUUAUAACAGAUCUGUGGGAAAUACUGAACAAAAAAUAGAUGUUCAAAGCAUGUAUUUCUAAAUUGCUAUAUUAGCGUUAUACACAGAAGACAAUAGAAACGUCAUACUAAAAAUAUAUCAAUAUGAAGACUGUGUCCUGGAUGCUGAUCAUGAAAUUCCAGUGAAUGUUCAUCCUGCGUUGCUGAAGUAGCGUACAGUUAAGAUACCAGUGAUUCUGACAGUAUUUGACUUGCACCAGGAAAAGAAACAAGCAAUGUCACAGACAGCUGAAGAGAUUUUUUUUAGAAAAUAUAUGGUUGCUGGAGGCCACGAUUCUGGUGAGAUGAUUAAUGGUUAGUGAGACCUGCAUCCCAUGGAGGAAGAGACAAAUCUCUCUCUGUGAGGCCAGCAGAAGGAAUGAGGCAAUUGAGGACCUGGAGGCUGCAGUUCAGAACAUCACUUCCUUGAACUGAAUCAUUGAGUCUGGAGGGAAGGAAAUGAAAGGCUUCCCUCUUUGCCAUAGUUUGGAAGAAAGAUUUGGAUUUCCCAUGCCAUCACUACCUUCUGUUUUUAAUAGCAAAAAGUGGCUCUUCAAAGAAAAGGAUUUGCCUUUUCUUUUUAAAAGAUGUAAAAGUCCUACAGUGUUGCUAACUCAUAGGCACCACAGACCUGUUUCCAAAAGAAGUUUCUAUGUGAGACACUGCUCUUCCGGACAGUAUAAGAGCUGGACUGUGUGGGAAGGAGACAUACAGUAAUUAUCAAUAAUUUAUGAAUGUGUAUGUUUGGCCCCAUAUGCAGAGUGUGCUCCUGCACCAUUUGAACUGCCAACUGAUGCUGAAUGGAAGCAACUUACAUGGAGGAGAUAUGUAUAAUUUCCUGAAGGAAACAGAACAUCCAAAUAUUUGUCUUGGUUAAUAAGAGAAGACAGAGGAAUAAUGAAGAGGGUUUUCACAAAGUGAUAUGCUGGGAAGAUGAGCGUAAUGCAUUUUUUCUCUAUUUCCAAUCUGUAAAAAUCUGCAAUGCAUUUUGGACAACAGUUGUUUACCGUACCAUAGUGCGGUACUGAAUUUGGAAGAAUGCACAGAAGACUUUAAAAUUUCACAUGACACAGAUUCUUGCAACAACUAGAACUUGCAUUCCUGAGGAGUUAUCUGCCCCAUCAAUUAAAGACCCUUUGUGUAGGCUGAGCCAUUGGUGGCAUUUCUUCCCAGGAGAUUAUAUGAAAGAGGCAUUUUAUGUCUUUGCUGCAGACUUUCUGCCUCACUCUGCCUGGAGCAGGCAGAGAAUUGAAAAGGAUGUGCCCCAUACAUGUAAAAUAUAUACAAGGGCUGCUCCAAAAAUAAUGCCUCCCAUUUAUUAUGUUGGCCCACAAUGUCAGAGGUGGAUGUUGGUGGUAUGGAAGCAGAGAUUGAACCUUCUCACGAACAUUCUGUUACAUGUUGUUGUUUUGCGACAGAUGGCGGCAGAGGGGCAGUCUGACAAAAUGGCGUCUGAUAUGGAAGUGUGUAUGGAACAAAGGCACCUCACUGAAUUCCUCCGUGGAAAAAAUGGCACCCAUUGACAUCCAUUGAUGUUUGCUGAACGUUGAUGGAGACCAAAUAGUGGAUAUGAGCUCAGAGAGGCAGUGGGUGGGUGGUGAGUUUCAACACUGGUGACAGCAACAGUGGGUCACCUCCGCUGGCACAGAUUUUUACAAGCGUGACAUGCGUGCUCAUCUUCAUCUCGGGUGAAAAUGCAUAAAAUAGUGUUAUUGUCUUUUUGGUAUGUGUGGUAGUUUGCAUGUAAAUAAAUGGGAGGCAUUAUUUUCAGAGCAGCCUGAAACUUCAGGAAAUUUUAGUAACAAGUAAUUAUGAAAUAAAAGAAUACUACUCACAUGAACAUGGUAGAGGUAAGAGAAAAUUGGUAAUCACUGAGGAGGGAAAUAUAGAAUAUAAAAAUCUUUGGCAUUAUGUCUUUGGCUUGUUUGGCUACUUGGUAUUAGAGGUUUCAGCACAUUAGCUUUUAUAGAACAAAUACAUUCUGUGAAGGGAUCUGUUCCAUUAAAAGGCUCCUAUUAUGAACUGACCUGCUACAAUCAUACAGAUGCAGUCUUUCACAUUAUCCUGAACUGAAUAAAUAUCAAUCAUUUUCUUUACUUUGAAAAAUCACAGUUAUUCCUCUAUUUUAACAGUCCCCUUACUUUAACAGUCUAGUCCCCGUUUAGUUUAACAGUCCCCAUACUGCAAGUCAUUUUUAGUUAUUCUGAUGAGUCAUAGCCAGCAUAUUAUUCUGCAGCAUUUCACUCCAUUUUCUUUUUUGCUAGAACUUUGCCUAGAGUAACUUUGGC
ensembl:lncRNA